AGCAGCCGCGGUAAUUCCAGCUCCAAUAGCGUAUAUUAAAGUUGUUGCAGUUAAAAAGCUCGUAGUUGAAUUUCGGGAUCAAUUAAUUGGUCGUGCCUCUGGUACGUACUGAUUUUAUUGGUUUCUCCCUUCUGACGAACCAUGAUGUCAUUAAUUUGGUGUCGUGGAGAAUCAGGACUGUUACUUUGAAAAAUUAGAGUGUUUAAAGCAAGCUAACGCUUGAAUACAUUAGCAUGGAAUAAUGAAAUAGGACGUUUGAUCCUAUUUUGUUGGUUUCUAGGAUCGACGUAAUGAUUAAUAGGGAUAGUUGGGGGCAUUAGUAUUCAAUUGUCAGAGGUGAAAUUCUUGGAUUUAUUGAAGACUAACUACUGCGAAAGCAUUUGCCAAGGAUGUUUUCAUUAAUCAAGAACGAAAGUUAGGGGAUCGAAGACGAUCAGAUACCGUCGUAGCCUUAACCAUAAACUAUGCCGACUAGGGAUCGGAUGAUGUUAAUUUUUAAUGACUCAUUCGGCGCCUUAAC
rnacentral:rRNA from 1 species